AUUGAACGCUGGCGGCAGGCCUAACACAUGCAAGUCGAACGGUAACAGGAAACAGCUUGCUGUUUCGCUGACGAGUGGCGGACGGGUGAGUAAUGUCUGGGAAACUGCCUGAUGGAGGGGGAUAACUACUGGAAACGGUAGCUAAUACCGCAUAACGUCGCAAGACAAAAGAGGGGGACCUUCGGGCCUCUUGCCAUCGGAUGUGCCCAGAUGGGAUUAGCUAGUAGGUGGGGUAACGGCUCACCUAGGCGACGAUCCCUAGCUGGUCUGAGAGGAUGACCAGCCACACUGGAACUGAGACACGGUCCAGACGCCUACGGGAGGCAGCAGUGGGGAAUAUUGCACAAUGGGCGAAAGCCUGAUGCAGCCAUGCCGCGUGUAUGAAGAAGGCCUUCGGGUUGUAAAGUACUUUCAGCGGGGAGGAAGGGAGUAAAGUUAAUACCUUUGCUCAUUGACGUUACCCGCAGAAGAAGCACCGGCUAACUCCGUGCCAGCCGCCGCAGUAA
rnacentral:rRNA from 1 species